rnacentral:lncRNA from 1 species
CACAAUAUUCAAUUAGAUCAAAUUAUUAUCAUAAGGUUUUCAAAUGAUAAAGCUCUCACAAAAUUUAAAAACAUAUGUUAACAUCUCUUUUGAGAGUGCUAUAAAACUAUGUACCUACGUGUUCAACCUAUAUUAAGAUGUGAUGAUGAUUUGCGUAACUACAAACAUUAAAUAUUAGAACAUUCAGCUCAUCGAUAUGAGAUAUUCUUGUAAUAGUUAUUCCUUCAUCGGUUGUGUACAAUGGCUAAAAAGUUGAACAAGACUUGAUUCCCUUCCGAUGACCCAAGCAAGUGCGAAAGUCACACCAAGAUGACCAACAACUUGGAGUUAGCAAAAACAGUGGAUCUGUUCCAGAGAUCAAACUAGUGCGAUUGUCCAAUGUAUUUCCUCAGUGACAAUGACUGACAACAUAAGAUUGUGGGCAUGGACACGGACUUGGAGACAAGAUGGAAACAAUUCAAUUUUUUUUGAUUGAUCAAUGAGUGUCUUUCGAGUUUGGUGUAAUCCACAUGGAGCCAAAGUCGUUUCAAGGUCAGUACCUGGGUAAAUUUAAGUUUCUAAUGACCUCUUGGCUUAUGAGAUAUUGCAUUCACUGUUGGAGCUGAAAGUUGUGGAAAUCAAUUCAGUGGAUCAACUAACUUUCAUCAAGCAGCUGAGUGAAAAAGAGUCAAACUGUAAUUUGGAGUUUUUGAUUUUGCAUGAAACUGAGUGUCAAGCUUUAGAGGACAUGGUAGAUGAGUAUAACAUAACGAUGAUGUAUAAUCAUGUAUUAUUAGUAGCAGUAGGGGACCAAGUGAUCAUAUGUAACGAUUUACUAUACUUGUUGUUGGUCUUAAGCGUUAUUUAACUAUGACAUUAUCGUUGAGUUGUUGGCGUGUUCAUUUGGUUGUCAGAAUUUCUAAUAUGUUUCAGUAUGUUCUUCUAUGUUGUGUUAAACUUAUUUGCAGUUGUUUCUUGUAAAUUUUCAAAUCUCUGUUUAUCACAUUACAUGCUUCAAUAUGAAAUCUAGACAUAUUCUUUUCAAAAUUU